rnacentral:lncRNA from 1 species
AACUUAUUGAUUGUGAAGGGAGACAUCCUUUGCCUCCAAUUAAUGGUCGAUUUCUGAAGACAUACUACUGUUGACCUUCUUCAUCCCCAGUUAAUCCCAACGCUGCCGAGUAUCAGCUUUACCAACUACUCGACGCCAACUCGAACGCUACCGAGUACCAGCUUCACCAACUGCUCGACCUCAACUCUGACGCUGUCAAGUAUCAGACAACUACUCGACCUCAAUUCCGAUGCUGCCGAGUACCAGCUUCACCAACUACUCGACCUCAACUCCGACGCUGCCGAGUACUAGUUUCACCAACUAACUCCGACGCUGCCGGGUACCAGUUUCACCAACUACUCGACCUCAAUUCCGACGCUGCCGGGUACCAGCUUUACCAACUACUCGACCUCAAUUCUAACGCUGCCGAGUACCAGCUUCACCAACUACUCGACCUCAAUUCCAACGCUGCCGAGUACCAGCUUCACCAACUACUCGACCUGAACUCCAACGCUGCCGAAUACCAGCUUCACCAACUAUUCGACCUUGACGUUGCUGAGCCUAGCUAUAACACGAUAAUGAGCGCAUUGAAAGAAAACAUCAGCACCGGAGAUGUACAUUCAAGCUUUGCGCUCAUAUACACUCCGGUGGGGGCAUUUGUUAAAAAAAAAAAAAUGAUGAUCACUUCCCUAAAUUCACUCCUCCACUAUCUCCUACCAUUCCCUCCAUUUCUACCACUUUCUCCACCAUUUUUUCCACUUUCUCACCAUUCCUACUACUUUCUCCACCAUUCCCUCCACUUUCUCACCAUUCCCACUACUUUCUCCACCAUUCUCUCCACUUUCUCCACUUCUCAAUCACUCCCUCCACUUCUCCACCAUUUACUUUUCUCUUCACCAUAAACCUCCACCACCCUCUAUUUAUAUAAAGAGAAGUGAACAAAGAAA